UACAGAGGUCCCGAGCGUUGUUCGGAUUCACUGGGCGUAAAGGGUGCGUAGGUGGCGAGGUAAGUCGGAUGUGAAAGCUCGGAGCUCAACUCCGAAAUGGCAUUGGAAACUACCUUGCUCGAGGGUUGGAGGGGGGACUGGAAUACUUGGUGUAGCAGUGAAAUGCGUAGAUAUCAAGUGGAACACCAGUGGCGAAGGCGAGUCCCUGGAAAACUCCUGACACUGAGGCACGAAAGCUAGGGGAGCAAACAGG
rnacentral:rRNA from 1 species